GACGAACGCUGGCGGCGUGCUUAACACAUGCAGGUCGAACGGAAAGGCCCCUUUGGGGGUCCUCGAGUGGCGAACGGGUGAGUAACACGUGAGUAACCUGCCCUUGACUUCGGGAUAACUUCAGGAAACUGGGGCUAAUACCGGAUAGGAAUCCUUGCUGCAUGGUGGGGGUUGGAAAGCUUCGGCGGUUUUGGAUGGACUCGCGGCUUAUCAGCUUGUUGGUGGGGUAGUGGCUUACCAAGGCUUUGACGGGUAGCCGGCCUGAGAGGGCGACCGGCCACAUUGGGACUGAGAUACGGCCCAGACUCCUACGGGAGGCAGCAGUGGGGAAUAUUGCACAAUGGGCGGAAGCCUGAUGCAGCAACGCCGCGUGCGGGAUGACGGCCUUCGGGUUGUAAACCGCUUUCAGCAGGGGCGAAGCUUGUGGUGACGGUACCUGCAGAAGAAGCACCGGCUAACUACGUG
rnacentral:rRNA from 1 species